GCCUCCGUGGUGUAGUGGUUAGAGCGCGCGUCCCCGGAUAGGAUGAAACGCUGGUUCGAUUCCCGGUUGAGGCC